rnacentral:rRNA from 1 species
GAGUUUGAUCCUGGCUCAGAAUGAACGCUGGCGGCAUGCCUAACACAUGCAAGUCGAACGAAGGCUUCGGCCUUAGUGGCGCACGGGUGCGUAACGCGUGGGAAUCUGCCCUUGGGUUCGGAAUAACAGUUAGAAAUGACUGCUAAUACCGGAUGAUGUCGUAAGACCAAAGAUUUAUCGCCCAAGGAUGAGCCCGCGUAGGAUUAGCUAGUUGGC